UUCGUCCGCGUCGUGGACGCCCCUGACCAUAGGCCCCCGCCGCCGGUUACCCUGACGGCGUGCGCCCGCCCCGGGACGGCCCCCCGCCGUGCCCGGAGGUGACGCAAAGCCGACAGCCGUCGCAUCUCAGGGAGCCCUUACAUG
rnacentral:sRNA from 1 species